CCUACGGGCGGCUGCAGUGGGGAAUAUUGGGCAAUGGGCGCCAGCCUGACCCAGCAACGCCGCGUGAAGGAAGAAGGCUUUCGGGUUGUAAACUUCUUUUCUCAGGGACGAAGCAAGUGACGGUACCUGAGGAAUAAGCCACGGCUAACUACGUGCCAGCAGCCGCGGUAAUACGUAGGUGGCAAGCGUUAUCCGGAUUUACGGGGUGUAAAGGGCGUGGAGGCGGGAAAGCAAGUCAGAUGUGAAAACCAUGGGCUCAACCUGUGGCCUGCAUUUGAAACUGUUUUUCUUGAGUACUGGAGAGGCAGACGGAAUUCCUAGUGUAGCGGUGAAAUGCGUAGAGAUUAGGAGGAACACCAGUGGCGAAGGCGGUCUGCUGGACAGCAACUGACGCUGAGGCGCGAAAGCGUGGGGAGCAAACAGGAUUAGAUACCCCGGUAGUC
rnacentral:rRNA from 1 species